rnacentral:rRNA from 1 species
CUUUUUCGGAGAGUUUGAUCCUGGCUCAGGACGAACGCUGGCGGCGUGCCUAAUACAUGCAAGUCGAGCGGACAGAAGGGAGCUUGCUCCCGGAUGUUAGCGGCGGACGGGUGAGUAACACGUGGGUAACCUGCCUGUAAGACUGGGAUAACUCCGGGAAACCGGAGCUAAUACCGGAUAGUUCCUUGAACCGUAUGGUUCAAGGAUGAAAGACGGUUUCGGCUGUCACUUACAGAUGGACCCGCGGCGCAUUAGCUAGUUGGUGAGGUAACGGCUCACCAAGGCGACGAUGCGUAGCCGACCUG